rnacentral:tRNA from 1 species
GCUGUGGCUCAGUGGAAGAGUCUCUGCUUUGCAUGCGGAAAGUCCCAGGUUCAAUCCUUGUCAUCUGCA